AGAGUUUGAUCCUGGCUCAGAUUGAACGCUGGCGGCAGGCCUANCACAUGCAAGUCGAACGGUAACAGAGAGCAGCUUGCUGCUCUGCUGACGAGUGGCGGACGGGUGAGUAAUGUCUGGGGAUCUGCCCGAUGGAGGGGGAUAACCACUGGAAACGGUGGCUAAUACCGCAUAACGUCGCAAGACCAAAGUGGGGGACCUUCGGGCCUCACACCAUCGGAUGAACCCAGAUGGGAUUAGCUAGUAGGUGGGGUAACGGCUCACCUAGGCGACGAUCCCUAGCUGGUCUGAGAGGAUGACCAGCCACACUGGAACUGAGACACGGUCCAGACUCCUACGGGAGGCAGCAGUGGGGAAUAUUGCACAAUGGGCGCAAGCCUGAUGCAGCCAUGCCGCGUGUAUGAAGAAGGCCUUCGGGUUGUAAAGUACUUUCAGCGGGGAGGAAGGGAUGGAGUUUAAUACGCUUCGUCAUUGACGUUACCCGCAGAAGAAGCACCGGCUAACUCCGUGCCAGCAGCCGCGGUAAUACGGAGGGUGCAAGCGUUAAUCGGAAUUACUGGGCGUAAAGCGCACGCAGGCGGUCUGUCAAGUCGGAUGUGAAAUCCCCGGGCUCAACCCGGGAACUGCAUUCGAAACUGGCAGGCUAGAGUCUCGUAGAGGGGGGUAGAAUUCCAGGUGUAGCGGUGAAAUGCGUAGAGAUCUGGAGGAAUACCGGUGGCGAAGGCGGGCNANC
rnacentral:rRNA from 1 species